rnacentral:rRNA from 1 species
GGGGCGUAAAGGGCGCGCAGGCGGUUUCUUAAGUCUGAUGUGAAAGCCCCCGGCUCAACCGGGGAGGGUCAUUGGAAACUGGGGAACUUGAGUGCAGAAGAGAAGAGUGGAAUUCCACGUGUAGCGGUGAAAUGCGUAGAGAUGUGGAGGAACACCACUGGCGAAGGCGACUCUCUGGUCUGUAACUGACGCUGAGGAGCGAAAGCGUGGGGAGCGAACAGGAUUAUAUACCCUGGUAGUCCACGCCGUAAACGAUGAGUGCUAAGUGUUAGGGGGUUUCUGCCCCUUAUUGCUGCAGCUAACGCAUUAAGCACUCCGCCUGGGGAGUACGGUCGCAAGACUAAAACUCAUAGGAAUUGACGGGGGCCCCCACCACCGGUGGAGCAUGUGGUUUUUUUC